GAUGAACGCUGGCGGCGUGCCUAAUACAUGCAAGUCGAGCGAACAGACGAGGAGCUUGCUCCUCUGACGUUAGCGGCGGACGGGUGAGUAACACGUGGAUAACCUACCUAUAAGACUGGGAUAACUUCGGGAAACCGGAGCUAAUACCGGAUAAUAUAUUGAACCGCAUGGUUCAAUAGUGAAAUACGGUUUUGCUGUCACUUAUAGAUGGAUCCGCGCCGCAUUAGCUAGUUGGUAAGGUAACGGCUUACCAAGGCAACGAUUCGUAGCCGACCUGAGAGGGUGAUCGGCCACACUGGAACUGAGACACGGUCCAGACUCCUACGGGAGGCAGCAGUAGGGAAUCUUCCGCAAUGGGCGAAAGCUUGACGGAGCAACGCCGCGUGAGUGAUGAAGGUCUUCGGAUCGUAAAACUCUGUUAUUAGGGAAGAACAAAUGUGUAAGUAACUAUGCACGUCUUGACGGUACCUAAUCAGAAAGCCACGGCUAACUACGUG
rnacentral:rRNA from 1 species